rnacentral:rRNA from 1 species
AUUGAACGCUGGCGGCAGGCCUAACCCAUGCAAGUCGAACGAGUGGCGGACGGGUGAGUAAUGUCUGGGAAACUGCCCGAUGGAGGGGGAUAACUACUGGAAACGGUAGCUAAUACCGCAUACCAUCGGAUGUGCCAAGAUGGGAUUAGCUAGUAGGUGGGGUAACGGCUCCCCUAGGCGACGAUCCCUAGCUGGUCUGAGAGGAGUACCAGCCACACUGGAACUGAGACACGGUCCAGACUCCUACGGGAGGCAGACGUGGGGAAUAUGGCACAAGGGGCUCAAGCCUGAUGCAGCCAUGCCGCGUGUAUGAAGAAGGCCGUCGGGUUGUAAAGUACUUUCAGCGAGGAGGCGUUACUCGCAGAAGAAGCACCGGCUAACUCCGUGCCAGCAGCCGCGGUAAUAC